rnacentral:rRNA from 1 species
UACAGAGGGUGCAAGCGUUGCUCGGAAUCAUUGGGCGUAAAGGGCAGGUAGGUGGUCUCGUUUGUCUGAGGUGAAAGCCCAGGGCUUAACCCUGGAAGUGCCUUAGAAACGGCGAGACUAGAAUCUUGGAGAGGGUCGUGGAAUUCCCGGUGUAGCGGUGAAAUGCGUAGAGAUGUGGAGGAAUACCGAUGGCGAAGGCAGCCUCCUGGGCCAACACUGACGCUCAUGCACGAAAGCGUGGGGAGCAAACAGG